rnacentral:lncRNA from 1 species
ACGAACGUGGGGUGGAAGUGGAAAUGGAAAGUAAUUUUCGGUAAAAUCUGACCACUUCCGUUGUUUGGUUCACCGUAAUUUUAUUACGCCCGAAAAUCUAGUUCACCCAAAAUAAUAAAAUUGACUUCCCUCUCCCAUGGGACGAAGUCAAUUUCGGUGAGGUGAAAAAAGGCAAGAGUGGGAAUUGAUGUGUUAGGGUUACCCUUUCUCUACCCUUUCCUCUUCUUUAAUAUAUUUUAUGUUUAAUUUGUAUAUUUAGAAAAUGAUGAAAAAUGAAUUUGUUAAAUGUUAAUAAUUUUUUAAUUUUUAGAAUUUUAUUUGUUGUAUUAUUAUAAUUUAUAUACAAACAAAUAAUAUAAUUUUUUAAAUUUUAUUUUAUAAUUAUACAUAUAUAUAAUUAUAUACGUAUAUAAUUAUAUUACUUUUAAUUUAUUAUAAUUUAUUAUUCACUAAGUUACAAAUUUGACAAUGAUAUCACUUCGGAGGUAAGUAUACCAGGGGUGGAGAACUAUACUUUUUACAUCAUCUACUUCCUACCAAACAAACAACAGAACUCGUAAAACUGUACUUUCACAGUUAAAAACAAACAGCGGAAGUGAAUUAAUUUUCACUCCAACUCCACUUCAACCCAAAGUCCACUUCCACCCCAAGUUUACUUACGUUGAAACAAACAUGCCCCAAGAGGAUGGCCACCCCCUUGGCCUCUGUCAGGGAACGGAAAGGAAUUAACAGGGAGGAACAAGCACCCUUCUUUUGAGGCUUUUACUAUUAGGGUUGGGAAGGUUUUGAUUAUUAUGGUUUGGGUUAUAAAAUUAUGAGUGUUUUUUUGGCUAUUAGAUUCAGAUUUAAUAGUUUGAAUUUUUUUUAUAUAUUACAUUAUAUUAAAUUUGUUCGGAUUCGGAUUCAUAUUCGGGUUUGGGUUCGGGUCGGGUUCAGGUUCGAGUUCGAAUUUGUUUUUUAAAUAUCCAUACCCGAACUCGAAUCCAUCGGAAUCCAUAUCCAUAUGCAUUUACAUCAGAUAAAAUCAGCUCUGUUUGAAUUCAAAUUCAGAUAAAAUUCGAAUAUCCGUAUCCAUUAACAUUCCUACUUCCAACAUAUAAAAUAGGCCGUAAUAAGUCUAAAGAUUCUAGAGAAGAACUGCUGUUGCCUAAUGACCAAACCCUUGUGCGAUAUUCUAGCGAUAUUAACGACCCCUUGCAAAGUUGACCCAGUCAAUUUGGUGGACG